rnacentral:rRNA from 1 species
CCUACGGGGGGCAGCAGUGGGGAAUAUUGGACAAUGGGGGGAACCCUGAUCCAGCCAUGCCGCGUGUGUGAAGAAGGCCCUCGGGUUAUAAAGCACUUUCAGUGAGGAAGAACGCCUGGUGGUUAAUACCCAUCAGGAAAGACAUCACUCACAGAAGAAGCACCGGCUAACUCCGUGCCAGCAGCCGCGGUAAUACGGAGGGUGCGAGCGUUAAUCGGAAUUACUGGGCGUAAAGCGCGCGUAGGUGGCUUGAUAAGCCGGUUGUGAAAGCCCCGGGCUCAACCUGGGAACGGCAUCCGGAACUGUCAAGCUAGAGUGCAGGAGAGGAAGGUAGAAUUCCCGGUGUAGCGGUGAAAUGCGUAGAGAUCGGGAGGAAUACCAGUGGCGAAGGCGGCCUUCUGGACUGACACUGACACUGAGGUGCGAAAGCGUGGGUAGCAAACAGGAUUAGAUACCCUGGUAGUC